UGAGGAAUAUUGGGCAAUGCCCGCAAGGGUGACCCAGCAACGCCGCGUGGAGGAUGAAUGUCGUAAGAUUGUAAACUCCUGUUAGAGGGGAAGAAUAGUACCGGUUGGACCGGUAUAUGACUGUACCCUCAGAGAAAGCCCCGGCUAACUACGUGCCAGCAGCCGCGGUAAUACGAAGGGGGCUAGCGUUGCUCGGAAUUACUGGGCGUAAAGCGCACGUAGGCGGACUCUUAAGUCGGUGGUGAAAUCCUGGAGCUCAACUCCAGAACUGCCUUCGAUACUGGGAGUCUUGAGUUCGGGAGAGGUGAGUGGAACUGCGAGUGUAGAGGUGAAAUUCGUAGAUAUUCGCAAGAACACCAGUGGCGAAGGCGGCUCACUGGCCCGAUACUGACGCUGAGGUGCGAAAGCGUGGGGAGCAAACA
rnacentral:rRNA from 1 species